rnacentral:rRNA from 1 species
GUAGGGAAUCUUGCGCAAUGGGCGAAAGCCUGACGCAGCAACGCCGCGUGCGGGAUGAAGGCCUUCGGGUUGUAAACCGCUUUCAGCAGGGACGAAAAUGACGGUACCUGCAGAAGAAGCCCCGGCCAACUACGUGCCAGCAGCCGCGGUAACACGUAGGGGGCAAGCGUUGUCCGGAUUUAUUGGGCGUAAAGAGCUCGUAGGCGGUUCAGUAAGUCGGGUGUGAAAACUCCGGGCUCAACCCGGAGACGCCACUCGAUACUGCUGUGACUUGAGUCCGGUAGGGGAGCGUGGAAUUCCUGGUGUAGCGGUGAAAUGCGCAGAUAUCAGGAGGAACACCAGCGGCGAAGGCGGCGCUCUGGGCCGGUACUGACGCUGAGGAGCGAAAGCGUGGGUAGCAAACAGGAUUAGAUACCCCGGUAGUCC